GUGCACGCUGGCGGUAGGCCUAACACAUGCCAGUCGCACGGCAGCACAGUAAGAGCUUGCUCUUACGGGUGGCGAGUGGCGGACGGGUGAGGAAUACAUCGGAAUCUACUUUUUCGUGGGGGAUAACGUAGGGAAACUUACGCUAAUACCGCAUACGACCUACGGGUGAAAGCAGGGGAUCUUCGGACCUUGCGCGAUUGAAUGAGCCGAUGUCGGAUUAGCUAGUUGGCGGGGUAAAGGCCCACCAAGGCGACGAUCCGUAGCUGGUCUGAGAGGAUGAUCAGCCACACUGGAACUGAGACACGGUCCAGACUCCUACGGGAGGCAGCAGUGGGGAAUAUUGGACAAAGGGCGCAAGCCUGAUCCAGCCAUACCGCGUGGGUGAAGAAGGCCUUCGGGUUGUAAAGCCCUUUUGUUGGGAAAGAAAAGCAGCAGGUUAAUACCCCGCUGUUCUGACGGUACCCAAAGAAUAAGCACCGGCUAACUUCGUG
rnacentral:rRNA from 1 species